CUCCUACGGGAGGCAGCAGUGGGGAAUUUUGGACAAUGGGCGCAAGCCUGAUCCAGCCAUGCCGCGUGUCUGAAGAAGGCCUUCGGGUUGUAAAGGACUUUUGUCAGGGAAGAAAAGGCAGUUGCUAAUAUCGAUUGCUGAUGACGGUACCUGAAGAAUAAGCACCGGCUAACUACGUGCCAGCAGCCGCGGUAAUACGUAGGGUGCGAGCGUUAAUCGGAAUUACUGGGCGUAAAGCGAGCGCAGACGGUUACUUAAGCAGGAUGUGAAAUCCCCGGGCUCAACCUGGGAACUGCGUUCUGAACUGGGUGACUGGAGUGUGUCAGAGGGAGGUAGAAUUCCACGUGUAGCAGUGAAAUGCGUAGAGAUGUGGAGGAAUACCGAUGGCGAAGGCAGCCUCCUGGGAUAACACUGACGUUCAUGCUCGAAAGCGUGGGUAGCAAACAGGAUUAGAUACCCUGGUAGUCCACGCCCUAAACGAUGUCGAUUAGCUGUUGGGCAACUUGAUUGCUUAGUAGCGAAGCUAACGCGUGAAAUCGACCGCCUGGGGAGUACGGUCGCAAGAUUAAAACUCAAAGGAAUUGACGGGGACCCGCACAAGCGGUGGAUGAUGUGGAUUAAUUCGAUGCAACGCGAAGAACCUUACCUGGUCUUGACAUGUACGGAAUCCUCCAGAGACGGAGGAGUGCCUUCGGGAGCCGUAACACAGGUGCUGCAUGGCUGUCGUCAGCUCGUGUCGUGAGAUGUUGGGUUAAGUCCCGCAACGAGCGCAACCCUUGUCAUUAGUUGCCAUCAUUUGGUUGGGCACUCUAAUGAGACCGCCGGUGACAAGCCGGAGGAAGGUGGGGAUGACGUCAAGUCCUCAUGGCCCUUAUGACCAGGGCUUCACACGUCAUACAAUGGUCGGUACAGAGGGUAGCCAAGCCGCGAGGUGGAGCCAAUCUCACAAAACCGAUCGUAGUCCGGAUUGCACUCUGCAACUCGAGUGCAUGAAGUCGGAAUCGCUAGUAAUCGCAGGUCAGCAUACUGCGGUGAAUACGUUCCCGGGUCUUGUACACACGC
rnacentral:rRNA from 1 species